rnacentral:rRNA from 1 species
GAGACCGCGGAGGAUACGGUUACACUUGAGGCCGGAAGAGGCGAGCGGAAUUGCUGGUGUAGGGGUUAAAUCCAUUAAUAUCAGCAAGAACACCAAAUGCGAAAGCAGCUCGCUGGGACGUGCCUGACACUCAGAGACGAAAGCGUGGGGAGCGAAGGGGAUUAGAUACCCCCGUAGUCCACGCCGUAAACGAUGGAUGCUUAGCAUUGGCAGUUUCGACCCUGUCAGUGCUGUUUACCUAAGCUAACGCGUUAAGCAUCCCGCCUGGGGAGUACGGCCGCAAGGCUAAAACUCAAAGGAAUAGACGGGGACCCGCACAAGUGGUGGAGCAUGUGGUUUAAUUCGACAAUAAGCGAGGAACCUCACCAGGGCUUGACAUCUAGCUGCAUACCCCAGAGAUGGGGAGUCCUUCGAGGGUGCUAGACAGGUGCUGCAUGGUCGUCGUCAGCUCGUGUCGUGAGAUGUACCGUUAAGUCGGGAAACGAGCGCAACCCCUAUUCUGUGUUUCAUGUGUCACAGAAGACUGCCCGCAUUAAGUGGGAGGAAGGUGGGGACGACGUCAGAUCAGCAUGGUUCUUACGUCCUGGGCGACACACGUGCUACAAUGGGGGGUACAAUGGGAAGCCAAGCCGCGAGGUGGAGCAAAUCCCAAAAAACCUCUCUCAGUUCGGAUCGGAGUCUGCAACUCGACUCCGUGAAGCCGGAAUCACUAGUAAACGCGCAUCAGCCAUGGCGCGUUGAAUACGUUCUCGGGUCUUGUACUCACCGCCCGU